UUUAUUAAAUUUCGACGCUAUUGACUACUUCGAAAUUUAACAAGAUGCAUAGGUAUUUAAAUAUUAGAAUAUAAUUAUUAUGAGAGGUAAAAUAAUUUAAGGGGGGUUUUGAGUAGACAGUAUAUAAAUAUAAUAUAUAACUUUAUAUGUAAAUGAACGAAACUAAGAUGUCAUGUAAAUUUGUAAGUGGUUAAUAUAAUGUUUUGUAAAAGUGUAAAUAGAAAUGUAAAACAGAGUGCAUUAAAUUAUAUUUAAGUGUUAUUAAAUUUUUUGAGGCUAUAAAUAAUUUCAUUUAAAUGUAUCAUAAAUUUAUUCAAUGUUUCCUCUUUUUUUGUAAUUUCAUUGCAAUCUUUAAAGUCUAUGUUAUUUAUUCGACAUAUAGUCUCAAAUUCAUACCUUGUAUUAAAAUAUUUUGGACAAUGAUAUAAUAAAUGUUCCAUCGUUUGUAUGGUGUUUGAAUCGCAGGGACAAAAAGGGUCUUGUGUUAUACGAAAUCUGUGAUGUAUAAUCUGGAAAUAUCUGCUUGGUGUAUUUACAAUUAUCUACUUCAUUAUACAGAUUAGUAAUUUCUUUAGUAA